GAAUACUGUAAUAGGCCCAUUUCACCCAGGCCCAUAAAUUAUCCAAAAAAUAAUAAAUAGAAUAAAUUAAAUAUAAAAAUCAAUGUUUAAAGUUCAGAUACAGUCUUCAUUAGCCCAGAUACAAAUUGUAGCCCAAUUUAAAAACCCAUUUUACAAGUAAAUCCAAAGCCCGAUUAUUAAACUAAUCUAACCCUAACCCAAAAUUUCAGCCCAAAACCUAAAAACAUUUUAGCGAACCCUAGCUAGACCAGUGCCGUAAGACCUCCACGCGCGCCACCACGUGCACCUCCGUAUGACCAUCUCCACGUCAGUCGAACCUGCGAGAAGAAAAGAGUAACAGAAUACAGCAAAGCAGUAGCAAAAAAAAUAAGAAAAAUUUGUAUUUAUACUUUACCUCUAUUUGGCUAUAAAAGAGGAGGCCGAUUGUAUACAAAAAAGAAGGGAGACGCAUACAGAUUAAAAAAAAAAGCAAUCAAAAGUGCGAAAAGUAAUUUUCAGAAGGUGAUUCUCCUUCUUUUUAUGUUUAUUUUGAUUGGAGUGUGUCAUUUCAUUGUUUUUUCUUUUUCUGUUCUUUCUUUCAUUUUGCAUCUACUACAAAAUAAAAAAAUGUGAUAAAAAGGAGUGGCUCACCUGAACUGAUUGGUAUACCGUCGGAGUUUUUCCUCCGUUAAAACCAAAUCCAACAGAGGUUGAGGCUUUCUUUUUUAUGCUUUGUGAUUGAAGGUGCUAGAUCUUGAACUAAAUGAGGUUAGAAAGGGAGAGAUUUAUUCACCGUCGGCCACUGUUUGUGGCGAUAGUACGGCGGCUAGGGAUUGGUCUUUUGAGGAUCGGUUAAAUGAGGGAAGAGGUCUAGGGUUUGGUUUCAAUAAGGGAUUGAUUGAUCUGAUAAGGGAAAUUGUUUUUAGAUACGUGAGGAAACGACGUCGUUUGGGGCCCGUUUCAGUGGCCUCAAAAUGACGUCAUAUAGGCCUUAUCCGACCUGACCCGAUCCGAUGCCCUCAGGAUCCGCGUGUUUUUGCGGUGAAGGGAUAUUUUCGCGCUUAGUCCCUCCCUUUUGCGCUGUCAUUUGAUUAGGCCCUGUUUAUAUUUUCUUCUUUUUUAAUGUUUCUCAAAUAUUUGUACGCUUUUUAAUUUGGUACAUAUUUAAACGCUGCGUUCAGUAUCUUGGGAUAAUUGUGUUUUAAUCCCCAUUCGUUUGAACACAUUGUGUUUUAAUCCCUAAUUCUAUUUUAAUGAUUUAUUUAUUCAUGGAUUAUCCCUUUUAUUUUGUUUUUAUUUCAAUUGAGUUUUUUUAGUUUUUUUUACUCAUUGUAAUUAUUUUAUUUUUUAAAAAAAAUUAUCAUUCGUUU
rnacentral:lncRNA from 1 species